rnacentral:rRNA from 1 species
GUGGGGAAUCUUAGACAAUGGGCGCAAGCCUGAUCCAGCCAUGCCGCGUGCAGGAAGACGCAUCUAUGGUGUGUAAACUGCUUUUGUACGGGAAGAAACACUCCCUCGUGAGGGAGCUUGACGGUACCGUAAGAAUAAGGAUCGGCUAACUCCGUGCCAGCAGCCGCGGUAAUACGGAGGAUCCAAGCGUUAUCCGGAAUCAUUGGGUUUAAAGGGUCCGUAGGCGGUUUAAUAAGUCAGUGGUGAAAGCCCAUCGCUCAACGAUGGAACGGCCAUUGAUACUGUUAGACUUGAAUUACAAGGAAGUAACUAGAAUAUGUAGUGUAGCGGUGAAAUGCUUAGAUAUUACAUGGAAUACCAAUUGCGAAGGCAGGUUACUACUUGUGGAUUGACGCUGAUGGACGAAAGCGUGGGGAGCGAACAGGAUUAGAAACCCUUGUAGUCC